UCGCACCUACCGAUUGAAUGAUUCGGUGAAAAUUUCGGACUSUAGAAAUUUAAAUGCUUUCGGGCAAUUAAGUAAUAGAAAGUUAUUUAAACCUCAUCAUUUAGAGGAAGGUGAAGUCGUAACAAGGUUUCCGUAGGUGAACCUGCAGAAGGAUCA
rnacentral:rRNA from 1 species